GACGAACGCUGGCGGCGUGCUUAACACAUGCAAGUCGAACGGAAAGGCCCUGCUUUUGUGGGGUGCUCGAGUGGCGAACGGGUGAGUAACACGUGAGUAACCUGCCCUUGACUUUGGGAUAACUUCAGGAAACUGGGGCUAAUACCGGAUAGGAGCUCCUGCUGCAUGGUGGGGGUUGGAAAGUUUCGGCGGUUGGGGAUGGACUCGCGGCUUAUCAGCUUGUUGGUGGGGUAGUGGCUUACCAAGGCUUUGACGGGUAGCCGGCCUGAGAGGGUGACCGGGCACAGUGGGACUAAGUUACGGCCCAGACUCCUUCGGGCGGCAGCAGUGGGGAGUAUGGCACAACGGGCGGAGGCCUGAUGCAGCAACGCCGCGUGCGGGAUGACGGCCUUCGGGUUGUAAACCGAUUUCGCCUGUGACGAAGCGGGAGUGCCGGUAAUGGGUAAAGAAGCACCGCCUAACCACGUG
rnacentral:rRNA from 1 species